rfam:Schistosoma rodhaini strain Burundi genome assembly, scaffold: SROB_scaffold0002275
AUCGAGCUGACAAGUCCCAAAUAGGACGAAACGCGCGUCAAAAUGGAU